rnacentral:lncRNA from 1 species
UUUCUAACGUUUUCCUAAGUUCUGCAUUUUCUAGUUUUAAGGACUCACAAGCAGUACAAGUAGAGCAAUUAUCAACACAAGAGGCUUCAUGCAUAGUCUUGAUGACUUGUCUAAGUUCUACACUAUCAUUUAACAAAAAUUGAUUUUCAUUUGCAAGAUUCUCGUUAUCACGAGACAGAUUUUCAAUACCUUUUUGAGCUAAAGAAAGACGUUCUUCAAAGUCCUUGUCUUUUAAAAGGAGUUGUUUUUGAAAAUCCUCUUCUUGUAGAGAAAGAGUUCUUU